CUAGAAAUAUAAAUAUAAUAUAUAAUAAAACCUGACGCACUUAGUCGCCCGUAAAGAAAAAGACAAGAGUAAUGAAUUGAGAACCAUGCGUCUUUGAAUAUAACUAGAAUAACUAGAAUACUGCGCGUUCAACUUUUUUUGACGCGCAUGUGCGUCUGGGAGAAGAAUCUAGUAACAUUGUAUUCUUAUACGUUAUCUACUUUUGUUGCAAGAAUUCGUUUUAAUACCAAGUCCUUUGUAAGGAUUGGUUAUCUUUUUAUUAUCAAACCAUUUGAAAGGAUUACAUUUGGUUAUCGUUUUAGUCUCAAGUCCUUUAGCAGGAUUAAAUUUGGUUAUUGAUUGAAUAUUCAAAUUCAACUAAGUGAAAUACACUCGAUAGCCUGCAUUGCGCCGUGUUUCGAGUAUAACAUAUAAUAAAAAAUAAAUCAUAUACUCUUAUAAUAUCACUCGAUAGGCUGCAUUGCACCGUGUUUCGAGUAUAGCGUAUUAUAAAAAAUAAAGUUCAUUAAAAACACA